rnacentral:rRNA from 1 species
AUUGGACGCUGGCGGCAGGCCUAACACAUGCAAGUCGAGCGGAUGAGUGGAGCUUGCUCCAUGAUUCAGCGGCGGACGGGUGAGUAAUGCCUAGGAAUCUGCCUGGUAGUGGGGGACAACGUUGCGAAAGGAACGCUAAUACCGCAUACGUCCUACGGGAGAAAGUGGGGGAUCUUAGGACCUCACGCUCUCAGCUGAGCCUAGGUCGGAUUAGCUAGUUGGUGAGGUAAAGGCUCACCAAGGCGACGAUCCGUAACUGGUAGGAGAGGAUGAUCAGUCACACUGGAACUGAGACACGGUCCAGACUCCUACGGGAGGCAGCAGUGGGGAAUAUUGGACAAUGGGCGAAAGCCUGAUCCAGCCAUGCCGCGUGUGUGAAGAAGGUCUUCGGAUUGUAAAGCACUUUAAGUUGGGAGGAAGGGCAGUAAGUUAAUACCUUGCUGUUUUGACGUUACCAACAGAAUAAGCACCGGUUAACUUCGUGCCAGCAGCCGCGGUAAUAC